rnacentral:rRNA from 1 species
GGCGGCGUGCUUAACACAUGCAAGUCGAACGGUGAAGCCAAGCUUGCUUGGUGGAUCAGUGGCGAACGGGUGAGUAACACGUGAGCAACCUGCCCUGGACUCUGGGAUAAGCGCUGGAAACGGCGUCUAAUACUGGAUAUGAGCCUCUUCCGCAUGGUGGGGGUUGGAAAGAUUUUUUGGUCUGGGAUGGGCUCGCGGCCUAUCAGCUUGUUGGUGAGGUAAUGGCUCACCAAGGCGUCGACGGGUAGCCGGCCUGAGAGGGUGACCGGCCACACUGGGACUGAGACACGGCCCAGACUCCUACGGGAGGCAGCAGUGGGGAAUAUUGCACAAUGGGCGAAAGCCUGAUGCAGCAACGCCGCGUGAGGGAUGACGGCCUUCGGGUUGUAAACCUCUUUUAGCAGGGAAGAAGCGAAAGUGACGGUACCUGCAGAAAAAGCGCCGGCUAACUACGUGCCAGCAGCCGCGGUAAUACGUAGGGCGCAAGCGUUAUCCGGAAUUAUUGGGCGUAAAGAGCUCGUAGGCGGUUUGUCGCGUCUGCUGUGAAAUCCCGAGGCUCAACCUCGGGCCUGCAGUGGGUACGGGCAGACUAGAGUGCGGUAGGGGAGAUUGGAAUUCCUGGUGUAGCGGUGGAAUGCGCAGAUAUCAGGAGGAACACCGAUGGCGAAGGCAGAUCUCUGGGCCGUAACUGACGCUGAGGAGCGAAAGGGUGGGGAGCAAACAGGCUUAGAUACCCUGGUAGUCCACCCCGUAAACGUUGGGAACUAGUUGUGGGGACCAUUCCACGGUUUCCGUGACGCAGCUAACGCAUUAA